rnacentral:rRNA from 1 species
GACGAACGCUGGCGGCGUGCUUAACACAUGCAAGUCGUACGGUAAGGCCCUUUCGGGGGUACACGAGUGGCGAACGGGUGAGUAACACGUGAGUAACCUGCCCACAACUUUGGGAUAACGCUAGGAAACUGGUGCUAAUACUGGAUAUGUGCUCCUGCUGCAUGGUGGGGGUUGGAAAGCUCCGGCGGUUGUGGAUGGACUCGUGGCCUAUCAGCUUGUUGGUGGGGUAGUGGCCUACCAAGGCGGCGACGGGUAGCCGGCCUGAGAGGGUGACCGGCCACAUUGGGACUGAGAGACGGCCCAGACUCCUACGGGAGGCAGCAGUGGGGAAUAUUGCACAAUGGGCGCAAGCCUGAUGCAGCAACGCCGCGUGCGGGAUGACGGCCUUCGGGUUGUAAACCGCUUUCAGCAGGGACGAAGCUUUUUGUGACGGUACCUGCAGAAGAAGCACCGGCUAACUACGUG